rnacentral:rRNA from 1 species
AGAGUUUGAUUCUGGCUCAGAACGAACGCUGGCGGCAUGCCUAACACAUGCAAGUCGAACGGGAUCCGGGCUUCGGUCCGGUGAGAGUGGCGGACGGGUGAGUAACACGUGGGAACCUGCCCAUUGGUUCGGGAUAACCGCGGGAAACUGCGGCUAAUACCGGAUGUACCCGUGAGGGGAAAGAUUUAUCGCCGAUGGAGGGGCCCGCGUCCGAUUAGGUAGUAGGUGGGGUAAAGGCCUACCAAGCCGACGAUCGGUAGCUGGUCUGAGAGGAUGAUCAGCCACACUGGGACUGAGAUACGGCCCAGACUCCUACGGGAGGCAGCAGUGGGGAAUAUUGGACAAUGGGGGCAACCCUGAUCCAGCAAUGCCGCGUGAGUGAUGAAGGCCUUAGGGUUGUAAAGCUCUUUUGCCAGGGAAGA